AUGAGAUAACUCUGGUGAAGGAACUAGUCAAAAUGAAACCGUAACUUUGGAAGAAGGUGUGCCCUGGAUGGUGAUGAGACUUGCUCUUUGAGCUGUUGGGGGUUGCAGAUACCAGGUGGCUGCUACUGUUUAUCAAAAACACAGCACUCUGCGAAAUCGUAAGAUGAAGUAUAGGGUGUGACGCCUUCACGGUGCUGGAAGGUUAAUUGAAGGUGUUAGCGCAAGCGAAGC
rnacentral:rRNA from 1 species